rnacentral:rRNA from 1 species
UACCAGCUCUCCGAGUGGUGUGGAUGUUUAUUGGGCCUAAAGCAUCCGUAGCUGGCUGGGCAAGUCCCCUGUUAAAUCCACCGAUUUAAUCGUUGGUGUGCGGGGGAUACUGUUCGGCUAGGGGACGGGAGAGGCCGACGGUAUUUUCGGGGUAGGGGUGAAAUCCUAUAAUCCCGGGAAGACCACCAGUGGCGAAGGCUGUCGGCUAGAACGCGCCCGACGGUGAGGGAUGAAAGCUGGGGGAGCGAACCGGAUUAGAUACCCGGGUAGUCCCAGCUGUAAACGAUGCAGGCUAGGUGUUUGGGUGGCCACGUGCCGCUCUAGUGCCGCAGAAAAAGUCGUUAAGCCUGCCGCCUGGGGAGUACGGCCGCAAGGCUGAAACUUAAAGGAAUUGGCGGGGGAGCACCACAAGGGGUGAAGCUUGCGGUUUA